rnacentral:rRNA from 1 species
UACGUAGGGACCAAGCGUUGUUCGGAUUCAUUGGGCGUAAAGGGAGCGUAGGUGGCGGGGUAAGUCAGGUGUGAAAUCUCGGGGCUCAACCCCGAAACUGCACUUGAUACUGCUUUGCUUGAGUACUGGAGAGGAGAUUGGAAUUUACGGUGUAGCAGUGAAAUGCGUAGAUAUCGUAAGGAAGACCAGUGGCGAAGGCGAAUCUCUGGACAGUUACUGACACUGAGGCUCGAAGGCCAGGGGAGCAAACGGG